ACCUACGACCAUAACCUGGAGAAAACACGCGAUCCAGUCCGCUCUCACCUAGUUAAGCUCCAGAGUGUCAGACUAGUAGUUGGGUCGGUGACGACCAGCGAAUCCCUGAUGUUGUAUGUU
rfam:Pseudallescheria apiosperma strain IHEM 14462 SEQ_SAPIO_0109, whole genome shotgun sequence.